AACCAUUCUCACCUGCGGCUAGACCUGCGGAGGGAUCAUUAACAUAAUAUUCAUUUGAUAUAUAUAGCCUUGUGUUAUAUAUAUUCAAACAACAAACGUACUUGAAUUUAAAGUCAAUAUAUUUUUUUAAAACACAAAAAAUAUUUAAACCAAAGGUGUUGGAUAAAACCAAACUGUUAAUUUAAUUAUAUAAAAUAACAACUUUUAACAACGGAUCU
rnacentral:misc_RNA from 1 species